rnacentral:pre_miRNA from 1 species
CAACUACUCCCUCUGUCCCAAAUUUCUUGUCUUACAUUUGUCUAGAUACGGAUGUAUCUAAUACUAAAAUGUGACUUGAUACAUCCGUAUCUAGACAAAUCUAAGACAAGAAUUUUGGGACGGAGGGAGUACUUU